rnacentral:rRNA from 1 species
CAUGCAAGUCGAGGGGAAACGACAUCGAAAGCUUGCUUUUGAUGGGCGUCGACCGGCGCACGGGUGAGUAACGCGUAUCCAACCUGCCCACCACUUGGGGAUAACCUUGCGAAAGUAAGACUAAUACCCAAUGACGUCUCUAGAAGACAUCUGAAAGGGAUUAAAGAUUUAUCGGUGAUGGAUGGGGAUGCGUCUGAUUAGCUUGUUGGCGGGGUAACGGCCCACCAAGGCUACGAUCAGUAGGGGUUCUGAGAGGAAGGUCCCCCACAUUGGAACUGAGACACGGUCCAAACUCCUACGGGAGGCAGCAGUGAGGAAUAUUGGUCAAUGGACGAGAGUCUGAACCAGCCAAGUAGCGUGCAGGAUGACGGCCCUAUGGGUUGUAAACUGCUUUUAUAAGGGAAUAAAGUGAGCCUCGUGAGGCUUUUUGCAUGUACCUUAUGAAUAAGGACCGGCUAAUUCCGUGCCAGCAGCCGCGGUAAUACGGAAGGUCCGGGCGUUAUCCGGAUUUAUUGGGUUUAAAGGGAGCGUAGGCCGGAGAUUAAGCGUG